AAGCAUAUGCAUCGAGUAACAUUUAUUUCCUAACCACACUACAACAGUUCAUAAUAUACCAUCACAUUGUUUGAAAGCUUAGUAGAUAUUUUUUAGGUUGAUAUACAAGGAACUCAAAAACAAAGCAGUUCAAAACAUUUGAAUUAGUCACCCCAUCACCAACAACAGCUCACAAAUUUUUAAAUAAGAGCAAGCUACAAAUAAGCAAAUGGCACUUAGAUGGUAAGAACUGUAAUAACCCGAGAUUUUCUAUAUAAAAUAAAUAAGAAAUUUUGCGUAUAAAUUUUUUUUAUUUAAUGACGAGACUAAGUGUCAAGUAAAGUGAACGAUAAAUGCGAAUACAUUUAUUACUUGAAAAAUUAGAAAUAAUUUUGGAAUUAUUAAUUACCACAAAUUAUAUGGUAAUAAAUUUCUGUAAGCCGAAAUGUUUUUAUUAAUUAUUUUCCAUGAAAACAUGAUUGGAAAUAAUAUAUGAUGUGAUAAUUAGAUUUAUAUAAUAAAUAUUUUAUUAUAUGAAUUGUUCAGAAUAUUUAAGUUAAUUAUUUUAACUUGAUUAUUGAUGAUGUGUACGAAGAAUAAGUCAGACAUGAGAUCCAAACCCUGGAUUGGGAUUGUGAUCAAGAGAUGAGAAUAAUAAUAUUAUAUUAUUUAUAUAAUGAUUUUACAGUACCAUAAUUAUGUACUGGGUAUGUGCGGACAGAUAAUAUUGAGCAAUGACGGUCAAUUAGGUCAUAGCAUAUUACCGUGCUGUGAAACCCUAAUUAUUAAACUCAGUUAUGGGAUAUUUCUGAGUAGUGACUGUGUAUAUGAAGUUACUGUGAAUAAGAAUAUCGGUAAUUAGAAGAAACCCUAAUUACUGUUGUACGUCGAUAAUUAGGACAAACCCUAAUUAUUAUAACCCUAACCGGUUGAAAUUAGAAACCGUAACGACUGUGUUAGUAACAUACACAGAUAAUUAAAGAACCACUAAUGGUCAAUUAGAAACCCUAAUUGAUGACGUUGAGAAACCCUAAUUUUAAUUACCGGGUUUAAUUUCGAUGUUAUUGUAUAAGUGUUUUAAUUUACCAAAGGAUAGAAGUUAAUUGGUAAAUUAUAAGAAUUAAAUCUAGUGAUUAAAUAUUACAUUUAAUUGCCUUGUACAAGAUUGCCCAUACACUCUUAAACAAAGCCCAACCAUCACCCAUAACAAAUCAGAAGCAAGAAUCAAGAAUUUUUGGCAAAAAGGGUAUAAGAACACUAAACCUAGAAAUCCUUUGAUUCGAUGUUAUUUGAUGCAAUUGAUUGUUUAAAGUUGUGUAAUAGAAUGUUAAUUGAUGAUAUGGGUUGAUAAAUCAAAGACCCAUAACAUCAAAGUGCACGAAUUUGAAGAUUUAAGCAAGUUGGAAAAACCGAAUUCUUUUUUUUUUUCACCAAAUGUCAGAGGCCAUAACUCUUUGCUCGAUCAUGAGUUUUGUUCUUCAAAAGUUGUUAUGUGUAGCCUGAUAUGUGGUCUUUAAUCUGCAAAAAGAAUCAAGUCCAUAUCAUGUAUAGAUUAGAAGUUAUAGAUGGUCAAACAUGGUUGACCGAUCAUGAUAAACUGUUUUUGGGCAGUCUGUAAUGGGGGCAUUCUCGUCCACUUUUUGUGCUUUAAAAGGUCUGGGCUUUUGAUAUGUUGUAGUGCACUGAGUUAGGAAGCCAUAGGCUUUGGAAUGACCUCAUUCCGACCUCGGAUGAGGGAAUUACGGUGAUUGGAAGGAAAUGUGUCAAAUUUCUCAAAACUGAAAGUCAGCAGCGGGAUGUGCUAUUCGGGACACUGUUUCGAUCAGUUAAUGUUUCCAAAACCUUCUGGGCUUUUGGUAUGUUAUAGUACACCGAAUAAGCUUUCCAUAGACUCCGAAACGGACUAAAUCCGAUAUCGGAGGAGAGAGUUAUGACAUUUCAAAGUAGUAGUGUCAAAACUUCCCAACAAGUGCGGUGCAGUCCAUUUGAACGGAAUUUCUGGGCUGAUGUGUUCGGAAUUUGGAAAUGGUCAAAGAAUAAAAGUUGUAGCCCCAGAAGUUAGCUUCGCGUGGGCUCAAGAAUCGCUCAAAAAUGUUUUAAAAUGAAAGAGUUAUGACUGUUUUAGCGAAAGAGGGUAAAGCUGAAACGAGAUUGAAAACUGUUAUGAACGUCCACUUUUGACGCACUGUUUGGGCUACCUAAUGAACCCGAAUUGGGUAAUUCGUAUUUUUUAAAAAUAGUCUUACAUACCAUGUAUAACAUAUCCAAAAAUCAGAUUAAUCGGAGUUAUGAGCAAUGCGUUAGAAAAUCGCAAAGUGAGCUAUUGAAAAAUUAGUAUAAACCAAGUCCCACAUCGACUAAAUUGAGAACUUCACCAUUUUCUAAACCUAUAAAUAGAAGGGCUUGGCCUUUGUUUCAUUCACCAACAAUAAGGCCUCCAAUUUUUGAGAAAGGCUUUGUUGUGGGAGAACUUUUUAUAAAGAUCUCCUUAGUUAAAUUUUGGCGUGGAAGUGCGUAUUCAGUCUGUGGAAUUCGUAUUUCCGGGUAUGUUUCUUAUUUAAUUUUUGUAAUGUUAUUAUUUUUAAUUGUUAGUUAAAGUUUGAAUUUUUGAAGUUUAGUUAGUGUUGUUAAUAAACUAGUUAGUUUACUAUGUUUAUUUUGGCUUGGAAUUGAUUAUGUAAAUGAGUUAUUUGUGAUGACUUUUAAUAUUUUGUGAUGAAUUUCAUUAAUUAAUAAUUAUUAAUGAUAUUAAAGUUAUUUAAUGAUUAUAUUAAAUAAUUUAGUUUAAAAAUGAUUUUAAUAUUAUAAAAAUCAUUUUAAAUGAAAAUAAGGUAUUUAAAAAUAUUUUAAGUUAUAAAAUAUAACUUUUAAUAUUUAAAUGAUAAUUUCAUUAAUAAUUAAAUAUUAAUGAUAUUAAGAUAAUAUUAAUGAUAUUUAGUUUAUUUAAUGAUUAAUAUUAAAUAAAUAGUUUAAAAAUGGUUUUACUUAUUUAAAAACCAUUUAAAGAGGAUAUUAAGGAUUUAAAAAUAUUUUAAGUUAUAAUUAAUGACUUUUAAUAUUUGGAUAAAUAGUACAUUAAUAUUUAAAUAUUAAUGGUAAUUAUUUGGGUAAUAUAAAUGUUUUAAAAAUAGUUUGAGUUAUUAUAAAUAACUUUUAUAUUUUGGCAAUGGUUUCAUUAAUAGUUUAGUAUUAAUUAAACUAUUAAUGAUAAUGGAAUUGUUUAAUGUUUAAAUCAUUUAAUUAUGAUUCCGAUAUUUGAAAGUUAUAGCCGGCCAAACUAGCUGACUUGAGAACCGAUUAUGAAGUUCUGAAUUUGAAGAAGAACACCUAUAGUAACAGUUAUAUCACUAUAGGCCCUUUAGUGACAGAUUUGAAUUAUUUUAAAUUUUUCAAUUUCUGGAAAUUGCGAAAAUGAUUAAAAAUAAGAUGUCUGAUAUUUACAGAUGUUGAGGUAUAGAAUAAGAGUCUUAGACUCAGUAUUUACCCGAUAAAGCUGUCGGUACGCCGACAAAUGUCAGACCUUAUAAAAGAAAGAAAAGACUACUGUAAGAGCAUGGAUGAGAUAUUUGAAAAAUGUAUAAAAAUAUUUCAAGUAUAGAAUAGGAACUAAAAGUAUGAUCACUGUGAUUAUGUGAUUAGACUAUGUGCUGACUGUAAUAGACAGUACUAUGUGUUAAGAUAUAUUGUUCUAAUCGAACGAAUGAUCUGAUUAUUGAUAGGUUGUGAUAAAGAGAUAAAACCUAAGUUGAGAUUUGUAAUCAGCGAAUCAGGCAAGUAUCCUACCUUUGCAUUUUCUUUAUGCAAUGGACAUGAGUAAGAAGUUUCAGAAUUAUUCUAUUCCUGUACAGAUUAUGUACGCUUUGAUUAUCAACAUGUUAGCUCAGAUAUAUAUUCUGUUAAGUUGAUUUCUAAAUGGUUAUACAAGUGUCCCCACUUGGAUAACCAUGGCAUUUAUUCACAUGUUGAUAUACCUCUGUCAAUUACCCGUAUACAUAUAUGUUGAAUUACAUAUUAUUGUUGAGCAAGAUUAAAAACCUUCGGGUUUGGAACCAGGCAUGUAUGAACAUCCCUAUAUGGGAAGAUUUUUGCGCCCAAGGCGGAUAGAGUGAGCGAUGAAUUUCGUUCAAGUUAUGUAGUAUUGAUCAAUACAGGGUACAACGGGGCUGAUCACCCUCCGUGCCCGUAAGCUAGAGCGGUUUGCGGAUGGAUUUCUGCCAAACCUUUUCGAAAAUGAAAAGAAUGUUCAUAGUAUGAUUCUUAAACCCUAUUCAUGGGUAGAGCCAGAGCCAAAUUUAAAUAAUUUGGAAGAGAUUUGUUAUGUGAAUUUUUUAUCAGUACAGAUUACUUCACAACUUUCGAUUCGUUGUAGAAGUGUUAUGUAAAGAGAAUACUUAUAUUCUUUCAGCUUAUAUAUAUAAUUGCUAUUACUUGCUGGGCACUCAAAUGCUCAUCCUUGCUUAAAUUAAAUGUUUUCAGUUAUGUAUGAGCAACCUGAAGGCUCAGGCACGAACAAAGGAAAAGGAAAGCUGAUCGAAUAAGUGUGUAUCAUGAGUUAAUGGUUAUAGUUGUAUUGGUAUCUAUUCAAGUAUUAUAAGGAAUGUAUUUGAAGGUCACGUACCUGGGGAAGUAAACUUUGAUGUAUGUAAAUUAAGUUCGAAUGUAUUAUUAUUUUAGUAUUAUUCAGCUUAAAGAAAUGGUAUCGUGGAGAACCGAGUUCGGGUUUCAAGUACCUGGAUUUGGGGUCUUCACAAGAACAACAUGUUAGAGUUUAAUAUAUGCAAGAAUUUGGGCUACAAUAAAAGCACACCAAUUUUCAACAAUAAACCCAGAAAUUAAAAUGUCAAACAGAAAUAGUAAGAAAAAUUAGUAAAAAUUAAAAACAAACAUAAAACGGUCAAGCUGCAAGAAAAUAAAUAGAAAAACAAACCUCAAGAAAAUCAAUUUCUAUCCCAACAUUUGAACCUUAGCCAACUCUCGGCGCUUCCCAUACAAAUCUGGGUACUCUGGCGGCGAUUUAGGACACGGUGGUGGCAGUGAUGGCACUUUAGAAGUUCCCCUUUUGGCAGCAUCCAUUUUAUCAAAAAUCCUGCUUGCUUCCAAUAUUUUUUACUCAACAGAGUUGAUGUAACUGAAUGCGGUAGUUAUACAUACAUACACAGAUUUAUAUAAGUAUAUACAUAAAAAUAUAAGAAAAGGAGGAGCCGAGGAGGACUCACCGUUGCCCGUCGUCACCGACUUCCGAUUUAGAGUCGAGUCUUCGAGAUCUGAGAUGAGACAAGAGUAACAGAGUUUGGGAUGAUUCUUAUCACUUGAGAUCUGAGACGAGAUCUGGGUUUGGGAUGAUUCGUCACUUGAGAGUUGAGAGAUUCAGAUUGAGAGAAUGAGAGUUUGAGACUUGAGAUGAUGAGACGAGAGUAUCAAAGUUGUUCGACUUUAGAGUCGGUCAGUCCACUAGGGCUAAUAAAGUAGUAAUGACUAAUACGCUGAGGACUUUAUUUAAUUUCAAGUUUUCACAUCAGCGUCAUGUUUUAAACGUCCAUGUUUUUGACUUACACAACAUUUUUAAAAAAAACGUUAUCUAUUUAAAAUCAAAAAAAUGGCCAUUUAAAUAGAUAACGUUUUUGCAUAUGUAUCUACAACGUUUUUUUAAAAACGUUGUAAAAAAAAAAUACCACAACGUUUUUAUAAAAAACGUUGUCUUUUAAGCGUUGUCUAUUUACUAUUUUAUGGUAGUGUAAAAAGGCUAAAAUAGAUGAUAUAUAUUUUUCUUUUUGGACAACAAUUUGGAGAACCCAACAUCGAGUUUUGAAUUACCAUGUACAUUGCGGUCAACCCCAAUUCGAUAUGGAUCAAAGAUUAAUGAUUCAGAUCAUGGAACAGGAGUACGAAGAAGCAGUUGAGGGUGGAAUAUGCCCUAUAGCAAAAGUCAAUUCUAGCGGUAAUUAUGACACCAAAGGCUGUCCCAGAAAAGUCAAAAUUGGUGGUUCAAGUGAGAGCGCCUUUCCUAAUUUCCCAAAAAAUGAGGAACCGAACGAGGUGAUCAUGGGUAAGCUAAUCAUAAACUCUUGCGAAGUUUAUACCUUAUUAGAUACCGGUUCUACCAUUCUUUUAAUUCUUCUGCUUGUGCUCAACGUUUGAACUUAAUCCUUGAGAAAUUAGACUUUGACUUAUCUGUUGAAACUCUGUUAGGAGAAACUUUCGUUACAUCCACAGUUUAUAAAUAUUGCUUGAUUCAAGUUGGGACCAUCACAUUACCUGUCGAUCUUAUUUCUUUGAAAAUACUUGCAUUUGAUGUGAAUUUAGGAAUUGAUUGGUUAACUACUUAUCAUGCCAAAAUUGAUUAUUUUCGUAAGGUUGUUAAUUUUCAUAUUCCUAACCAACAUGUUA
rnacentral:lncRNA from 1 species